GGGCACAGGAGCGCUUCCGGGGCGGUGUCAUCGCUGUCACCCUCACCGGCAUCGUCGUGACCACCGUCAUCAUGACAACGCUCCGCGCCUUCACCUGCGAUGACCUCUUCCGAUUCAACAACAUCAAUCUGGACCCGCUGACCGAGACCUACGGGAUUCCUUUCUACUUGCAGUACCUCGCCCACUGGCCCGAGUAUUUCAUCGUCGCCGAGGCGCCCGGCGGGGAGCUGAUGGGUUACAUUGUCUGGCUGCAGGCACUGCAUUACUCCAGAAAUGCUGCUGUGCUGAUGCUCUGUAUGUUCACAGUCAUGGGCAAAGCCGAAGGCUCUGUGGCUAGGGAAGAAUGGCAUGGACACGUUACUGCUCUGUCUGUUGCACCAGAAUUUCGAAGGCUGGGUUUGGCUGCUAAAUUGAUGGAGCUCCUGGAAGAAAUUUCAGAAAAAAAGGGUGGAUUUUUUGUCGAUCUCUUUGUGAGAGUGUCAAAUCAGGUUGCUGUAAAUAUGUAUAAGCAACUAGGCUACAGUGUGUACCGGACAGUCUUAGAGUACUACUCAGCUAGCAGUGGGGAGCCAGAUGAAGAUGCUUAUGGUCUUUUUUUAAUUAUCCUCCCAAAGGCUUACAUGGCCAGGCUGUAUAUCAUCUCUGUUCUUGCAUUAUUUAUUUGUUAUGUAGGAGCACUGUGAAAUACAAGGGCUAGGAUAGACACCUACCAUUGCUGCAUGUGACUUAAAUCAUAUAUUUGUCCCUUUAGCCUGUCAUUUCCAUUUUAUUCAGCUGAGUUUCAUGCAGUGUUUUAUAUCAGUUGAUAUCAUUGCCACUGAGCAACAUUAAGGACAUUAGUGUGUCCUGAGGAGAGCAAUCAAGAUGGUGAGAGGUCUUGAGGGCAAGAUUUAGGAGGAGCAGCUGAUGUCCAUGAGUUUGUUCCACUUGGAGAAGAGAAAGCUGAGGCACCUCCUCGUCACAGUCUGUAGAAGACAGCAGAGGGGAGUGUUGAUCUCCUCUCUCCGGUGACCAGUGACACGACAUGAGGAGAUGGAGCAAAGCUGUGUCAGGAUAUGAGAAAAGCUCUUUCCAGAGAUACAGAGAAGAAAUCAGUUAUACCCCUGCCUCAUCCUGUGAGGCCAGAAGACAUCGAGUAACUUGGAGCUGUGGUUCUCAUGCAGUUUCCUAAGUGUCAGGUUCCAUCUCCUGUAACCCCCAACAAUUCAUGGAUAAGAAGUUUUAGGCCAAAUGUUUAGGCCAAUUUUUUUCCUAUAAAAUACUAAAAAGCAGUAUUGAGAAGCUGACUAACACUGCUUCUAUUGGUAAUGGCUGUAUACUGCCAUACUUUAUGAUUUUUCCUUUCACAUACUGGAGAUUUGGAGACUAUUAAAGUGGAAUUGCCUCCUG